AAGGCCUUAGUUAAUAAAUAACAUUAGUUUGUCAAAUUAAAAUUACUAAAAUAGUAGGCCUUU
rnacentral:tRNA from 1 species